AUCCCAGCGUUAUCCAGGAGCAAUCCCAGCGUUAUCCAGGAGCAAUCCCAGCAUUAUCCAGGCAGCAAUCCCAGCGUUAUCCAGGAGCAAUCCCAGCGUUAUCCAGGAGCAAUUCCUUCCUGGAAAGGGUGCCCAGGCACUGCCCAGGGGGGAAUACAGUCCUCAUCCCUGGAAGUGGCAGCGGGAUGUGGCACUCAGAGCUCCAGGCUGGGGACAAGGUUGGACUCCAGGGCCUGGGAGGGAUUUUCCAGCCCCCAGGAAUCGCUGGGAUCACUGCCUCCUGCCAAGGCAGCACAUCCCUGGGCUGUUCCUGGCUGAGAACCUGCUGCACUCACCUGGGAAAUGCUGGGCUCUGCUUCCUCUUUCCCUCUGUGGUUUCAGCACAGUUUUUACAUCUCCAGCAGGUUCGUAAAGCAACCAAAAAACGCUGCCGAAACUCGGAGCCAGGGAGUUUCGUUUCAGUGGAAUUGCGCAGCCACGCUGAAGUGGGUGGUGAGGAAGGUCCAUCGAGCUGCUCUGCACUCUGCUGGAUUUCAACACGAGGCACGAUGGGGCUUUUAUAUAAAAUGAGAAGUGGAGGUGAGGAGUCUCAUGGUUUGUGUUUGCAGUGACGACAGAGGCUGCACAAAGUCCCUUUCUGCCCUCUUGCACGUGGUGUUCCACCAGGGAGCUGGAGCUGGGUUCUUCCAGCCACAUUUCUGCCCUGCCAGGGCUCUGAUCUCCCAGCCCAGCUGCCUCUGGCUCAGCUCAGUGCAGGGUGAGGUAAUGGCACCUUCAUUCCCUUCACAAAAAUCAAGGUUAUAUAGCAGAAUUUGUGUGUUUCUUCAUCCCCAUCUUUCCUUUGCUUUGGUUUAUUAAAUAUAAACAAAUCUGCAGUGCAAGUGAGUGAAGUUCUCUCUCCCCUGCUCAGCCACAGGUGUUCUAAAGAGAUGUUUGUGCAUCAGACAGCACAAUAUUCCUGGGGUUCCUUUCUCCUCAUUUCCCUCUCCAUGAACAAUUCACUAUCAGGAAAGGGCAGUGCAGAUGCAGCCCCUGUAAUUAAAUGGUAAUUACAGAAUUGUGCCACUGGGAACCCAGGGCUGCUCCCAAAUCCCAGCUGAUCCCGAAUCCCGGCUGUGCCUUUGUGAACAAAGGUGUGGAGCCACUCCCGGCCUGCAAUGAACUUUGCCCUGGGUUAUUCCAAGCCUUGCAGCAGGUCUGAGGUUUGGGUUUCUUGGAAUGCCACCCUGGUGCAGAAUUCUCUGCAGGACUGGGUGGGGACUCCAGGGAUGGGGCUGGCUUUGGGUCACAUCCCACAUCCCGGGGCUGUGGUGGUUCCAGCUGGGUUCCUGGGGCAGUGCCAGGACCCCUGGGGCAGUGCCAGGCUCACCACAGCCUGCUCUUGAGCUCCCUGCAGAUCCAGCUGGAAAUGCCCUUCCAUGAGGAUGCUCAGAACACUUGAGCAGAGUUCAUUAAAUUCAGCUGGUUGAGGAAAGAAUUCUCCUCCCCGUGUGCUCCAUCCCCUCUGGGCACCAGUAACUGGUUUAUACUGGGCUGCACUCUCUGGUGAAAGUGGUUUUCUGCUGAACUCUCCAGACAGGAUCCCAGGAGCAAUGUCAAUUAGGACUGAAGCUAAUUUGCUCGGGGCAAACAAUAAUUCCUUUGGCAAAGGUAUUUAUGGUUACAACUGCCAGACUAGAGCUCUCUCAAGUGGUUCUUAAUCUCGGGCAUUAAUUAGAGGUGGAGGAAAUUGUCACAGGACGUUUAAAGUUGAUAUUGUUUUCAUUACAGGUGCAAACAAAUAUUGCACAAGAAUAUCAAUGUUUAACUGCUGAGCUUGUCCCGGGUGUGUUUCUGGAGGGAUUCUGCAGUUCAGGGCUGUUCCUGCUGCCUCUCCCUUGCCUCAGGAACUCCACAACCGAUGGGGAGUCAGCACAGCUUUCCCUCACUGUCACAGUGCUGCAAGAGAAACAGAUGGGACUCUUGAUUUUUUUAUCUAGGAAAGCUGAGUUUUUAUUGCAUAGCUCUUAUUUUUAUAGGAAUAUUAGAAGCUACUGUGUUAAUCUAAUUGAUUAACAACACACUGACAGUAUUUUGCUUAACAAGAAUCAAUCUAAUUGGGUAACAAUACACUGACAGUUUAUUGCUCAGUAAAUGGUGAGGGUGCAUGUUCCUAAAACCCCUCUACUUUUGGCUAGUUCACAUGUUUUCUUCAUGGACUCUUAUGAAGAGUCUUCAUGGACUUUUUACAGGUGCAGUCUGUUUUUCUUACUAGAAUGAGUUAUUUAAACUGAUUCUCAUUCUCUUAAUUCCAUCUCAAGGGAACUUAAGCUAGUUACUAGCUGUACAUAGCUGAAGUAAGGCUUGAGCUGGGAUUUUAUCAAUCUUUUCUUUUAUAAGGUUUGUCCCAUGUGGAACAUCAGAGGGAUUUGGAGCGUGGCAAAGGCUCUGCAGGAGCCCAAGGAGGCAGAGGCAGGUGCUGGCUUUCCAGCUGUCCCUGCAGGGGCUGUCACCACAGAGGAAAGUCGUGUCCCUUGUGGUGGAAGCCACUCCUGAGUGACUCCUGCUGCUGGGGGAAGAUCAAAGAAGUGCCCAGUUCUGGGUCACUCCCUGAGCUCUGCACACAGACUGGGGCUUGUUUGCAGCACUGCCAGGAGUGCCCUGGCCAUUUCACCCGUAGGAAUAAGCAGGAAAAGCCAGAGAUGUAGGGGAAAGUGGAGUGAUGAGUUUAUGGCUGAAAGAGCUGAUUAACAAAUGGGUUUGGGGCCAGUGAAUGUUUGUGCCCUGCAGCUCUGCCCUGUGGAGAUGGAAAGUGAGUUUCAUGCAUUUUCCAGCUGGAAAGAGUGAGGGUUGUCCCCCCAGAUCCCUUCAGAGCAGAGUUAGGAAGGGA
ensembl:lncRNA